ACUUGUUGGCGCUCCUCCUGUACGCUCAGCUGAGGCGUUUUGGGUUUCAUGGAGAUCUUGGAGAGCUGAUGGUCACUGUCCUCCUUGAACAGACCCAUCCAGCUCAGACUGUGUCUUGGUGUCGUUAAAGAAGCUCAGCUGAACCUCCAGCUUCCUCUUGAACGACUCCACUUGGCUCUUCAUGUCACAGAUGAUAUCCGGACUCUUCCCCACGUCUUCGAUGACCUUGUUCUCCAGAUGACGCAGCCUGACGCCGGACACAGGAAACAGGAAACAACAUUGAGGUGGACGUGAGGUGUCUCAGGACGCCACUCACUCUUCAGAUCGGACGCCACCACCUCCAGUCGGUAGUACGAGUCCUGGCUGUUGGGCUCCAGGCGCGGGGAGAUGUUCAGCAC